UGUCUCUGAGGAUAGAGACUUUUCUCCGGUGCACAGAGUCGUUUAAAGAGAAAGCGGCCUCAGCAAGGUCGGGGCAACCCCACACAAGCCCAACAUACAGAAGUGAAGCCGGGGAGAAAUGAAGGCUGGUGCUGUUUGCGAAGCCAUACAAACUUUAUGCACGGCUCCAGUUCUCCGUGUCCCCUCUUAAUGUCAACAUCAGGUAAAAAGCACAGGAAGGAUAUAGGUGCUUGCAAACGUUCUCUAGUUUUGUUUAACCAGAAGAAAAAAACUAUUAUCUGUUUCAUUUAUCCGCAGGCUUAUCUUCCUCGAUGACGCGGACGAAGAUAGAAAUCACAUCUUCACGGCAGAUGGUCUUAUCAAGGAAGGCCAGAUGUUCGGCAAAAGAGAGUCACUAAAGGAUCUUGAAUCAUAUGUCGAGGGUCCUCAAAAGACCUUCAAAAUCAAAAUGAUUAUUGAACAUAUUGCAUAUUCUGUAACUAUUUAGGUUCUGUGAUUGCAUUUUUCUUUGGUUACUCCUCUGGUUUUGUUAAUUUUUUUUCGAGUUAUUUACCAAAAGCUUCCAUUUCAAAAGGUUUUCUAUGUUUGAGCAGAAAGUGUAAAUGUCGGAUCCACGAUGAAGAAAGAAAGGCUAAACUUCAGAACGCCGAAAAACUGACGCCCAAAAACACGGUGUCUGUCAAAUUCAUGACAUUACUACAUUUAUUAAUUUAACGUGAUAGCUACACAUCUAAGUGUAUAGUAUUGGCGAUAACUAAACUAACCGCACGGCUUGAGAAAAGUACGCCCUAAAUCAAUGCUCUGAGUCUUGACUUGGCUUGGCUAUUACACUUUGUUGCUGUUUAGGACAAUCUACUCGGUAAUUCAAUUCAAUUGCCUUUAAAUACAUGAACUGUUUUAGAAAUUCUUGAUAAAUUUUCCGGAUAGAUUAUAGUAAAUUUAAAGAUUUUUUUUGCGGGAAGAUGAAGGCUAAAAACCAGGAGAGUUGACCGGUAUGUUAGAGCAUGUUCCAUGGUAUCACUUAUCCUAAGAAUAUUACCAGAUAUUGCACACAAUUUCAAUAAAUACUUUAAUUACAUAUUGUUUUACAUAUUUUUUUCAGCAUCACAUGCUACAAAGCUGCAAUGACAGGAAAUCAUCGCCUGACGCCAAUCGGUUGCAAUUUUGGUGGUCAAGAGAUUUGCGACCAGUACAGAACCUCGAAAACGAAGGUUAACAGAAUAUUUACGACUCUGUGCACCGGAGAAAAGUAUCUAUCCUCAGAGUCGUUUAAAGAGAAAGCGGCCUCAGCAAGGUCGGGACAACCCCACACAAGCCAGACAUACAGAAGUGAAGCCGGGGAGAAAUGAAGGCUUAUCUUCCUCGAUGACGCGGACGAAGAUAGAAAUCACAUCUUCACGGCAGAUGGUCUUAUCAAGGAAGGCCAGAUGUUCGGCAAAAGAGAGUCACUAAAGGAUCUUGAAUCAUAUGUCGAGGGUCCUCAAAAGACCUUCAAAAUCAAAAUGAUUAUUGAACAUAUUGCAUAUUCUGUAACUAUUUAGGUUCUGUGAUUGCAUUUUUCUUUGGUUACUCCU